UUUUUUUUUUUUUUUUUUUUUUUUUUUUUUUUUUUUUUGGCAAAGAAAAAGGAUUUGUUAUGUUUACACUAUCGCCGCAAAGGAAGGAAAGGACAACUAAUUAUUGAAACUACCAUUGGCACUAUUCUAUUUUAAACGCAUAAUCAUGUUGCUCAUUACCAGUAAAACGUGGUGGCACAGAGACUAAUAUAAGGUACACCACUUUGUCAUUACUUGUGAGAUUCACAGUUUUG
rnacentral:ribozyme from 12 species